GUGAUGUACCUAGUAAUGUAAGAGAUUUUAUAAUAAUUACUUAGUAAUAUAAGUAAUAAACAUAAGAUUAUUCUAUAUGAUAUUAACUAAGUUAAUUAAAAUUCUAAGUAGAUGUUUGAUUAUGACAAUAUCUGUAUAGGUCUUGACAAAGUCACGUGCCAGCAGUCGCGGUAAUACGUGGAAGACAAGUGUUAUUCAUCUUUAUUGGGUUUAAAGGGUACCUAGACUGUUAAUUAAGCAAUAAGAUGUACUAAUUAACUAGAGUUUAAUGUAAGAAGGAUUGAGUACAGUGAGAGUAGAGAUAAAAUUCUUAGAUACCACUUGGGAACUGGUAACAGCGAAGGCUACCUUCAAUGUAAAAAACUGACGUUAAGGGACGAAGGCUUGUAUUAAAUAAUAGGAUUAGAUACCCUAGUAUUUUGAGCAGAAAAUGAUGAGUGUCAUAUACAAGAUAUUUAUUUUGUGUAUAAAUGAAAGUGUAAGCACUCCMCCUCAAGAGUAACGUGGCAACAUGGGAACUGAAAUCAUUAGACCGUUUCUGAAACUYGUAGUGAAGUAUGUUGUUUAAUUUGAUGGUACACAAAUAACCUUACCMCAAUUUGAAUUACUUAAAAAAAAAAAUAGUAACAAGCGUUGCACGGCUGUCUUCAGUCAAUGUUGUGAAACUUUGGUUAGAUCCAUUAAAUUGACGUAAACCCUUACUUUAUUUAUUAUAAAGUA
rnacentral:rRNA from 1 species